UCUAGUGAAUUUCAUGUCCAGGAGGAUUAAGGCAGUCCUUGAUAGCAAUGGUGCUCACACAAAAUAUUGACACUUUGGACACUUAUAGGUUCACUUAGGGUCUACCCACUUUUUUUGCCAGCUAUUUUGAGAGUAAUGCUGUAUGUUGGGUUAUUUUCAGAGGACAGUGGCUGAAAUGUGAGGGGUGAACUCACUAUUGUGACAGACAGACAGACAGACAGACAGACAGACAGACAGACAGACAGAUAGAUAGAUAGAUAGAUAGAUAGACAGAUAGAUAGAUAGAUAGAUUUAUUAUGAAUUAAAACCUGUCUGUAGUUUUCAGAAUCCAUGAUCCCAUUUAUUCAGACAAUAUCGCUAAUUUCCAAAGUAUUCUACUAAACAGAUAAAAUAAUUAUGUAAUCUAAUCUAUCUAAUAAUGGCCUAAAUCCUUUGCACAGUACUGUAUACGUAUAUACCCACAUGUAUAAAUAAUCAAAUUCAAUGGUAAAAUUUAUAACUGAGACCCUGUGAAAUGCAACCUGUAAUCUGGUUCAGGAACUGCCAUGUGUUCUGCUUCUUUAAAUGUAAAAGGUUUCAAAGGAGAAUGGUCCGCCCCUUUGCCCUCACAGUAAUCUUACGCUUUCUGGAUUCUCCUCAGUCAUCAGACAGAAAUGGGCAUUGCGAUGCACACUACCGGUUUACUUAUUUUAAAACACAAUGGUGCGUACUCUCUCAGCCAACCCCCUUUGUAGACACCUGCUGCUAAAUAACUGAAGGAGAAUACGUGUCAGCUGUGACAAUGAACACAAAAUAUUUAUCAUAAUCACAAUUUUAUUGAGUGAUUUCCUACGGGAACAAUUAGUAAGUGCUUACUAAAUCAGAGUAGUUCGGAUAAAAAAAAUUGACUAUCAUAGAUCAUUCUAUCUACAGUUAAAGAAUAUCUGUAAUGAUUGUGAUCAUUUAAUUUAAUUUGUGCUGCAUUCAAAUGAAAGUCGUUUGCUUUUGUUUGGGAAGCAAACUACACAAUAUCGAAAAGCGUUUUUAGUGUCUGUCCACAUUUUACUACCAUUAUAAAAGCGCAAAAAGCACGUAUUUUGCCACAAAGCCAAAAACCUGUAUUCGCUUCCCGGUCUGAGUUUGACACGUUUUAUAGACAGCAGCGCCGUCAAUGACGUGGCACGAACACGCACUUGUGUGGGUGCUGCUUUUUAGUGAAUGAGUCCACCUCCCUUCUCUGGUUACUAGUACUAUGAGGUCUCUAUAAAAAAGCGCAAAGGAGAUGGCAAGAUUGGACAAGAACCGCUAGUUUCCAAGAGGAAGAGAAGACGAGGGUGGACAAUGGUCCAUAUGGAGACAUUUAGGCAAGAUGCGUCUGUUGUGCUUCACUUUAUCAUGCACAGUUUGCUGAUCUCGCGUUUUAACGAUUUUUAGUAUUCGUGGUAGGAUUAAUUUGACCUUUUUUUAAAUAAAGAGCUUAUAUAGAGUAGAUGCUUUAGAUAUGAAAGUAUAAAUUAAACCCACAGUAUUUCAACAGUUAUUUUAAGUAUGCCUACUGUACUUUUUUCCUAUGAAAAAUAAACUGAAUUUGAACUUAAAAGUGCGCCGUAAUUUAAUAUAUCUCAUUUUGAUGAACAUAAAUGCUAAACAAUUAAGUUAUACUGAGCCUACUGAGGAUGACUUGAAAGAUACUGCAGUGUGAGUCACUUUUUUUUUCGCACGUGGACUGCAUGUAGUCUCUAAAGAGCACAGUAAAUUGGCAAAAUAAGUCCAGUGUACUUCAUAUCAGCUAACUUACCAUUGAAGAAAGCUAGUUAAAUUACCAUGAUUCCAUUUAGUAAAUAGAUUUUAAGUCUAGCAAAUGAUAUUUUUUUCCCCGACUGCGUACCAAAUAUCUUUUAGAUGGGUCAUUUGUGCACAGAGGUGUUAAUAGGGUUUAAAUGAAUAGCCACUUAGUGUGCAUCAUUUGAGGUUUUAAUGUUCUACAUCUGUCAUCUGUGACACAGAUUACUGGUGAUUUCGCGUUUCUUCGUUGUUCACAGUGUUCUUUGAUUACUGCAGAUACAAGCAAGUGAUCCUGAAAACCUUCUAACAAUUCAUUCUCGAACUCUAAGAGUUUCUUUCCUAUCACUUCCGUUUUCCCAUUCCUUAUGAAAACGCGGUGAAGUCAAUUCUUCUGCUUCGCUUUGAAGUCAAUUCUGCGUCACUCUUGCGCACUUUGCAGAUAAUUCGCAGUUACUUACUAUAAGCUUUUAAAGAGACCGAGCGGGCUACACACACUAUCUAUUGUCUUCUAGGUAUCAUUAUUAGGCUAAUGCUCGAAUAUGUUAACAGUUUAAAAUAGCAGACAAUAUCAGAUAAUAGGAAAAAUAUAUAACAAACAAACGGACAUGGUAAAUCUAGCAACUGUUAAAUGCCUAAGAAGUCUUAUUUUUACACUACCAUAGUUUAAACUGCUAUGGUGUGUUUGCAAUUAUUUGUAAAAUAGCAAUAAAAAGGAACAAAAUUGUGUUUCAGGACCAUGGACAGAGACUGCACACUACCAUAUUCUCUGCAAUUGCAGCAUGGUAAACAGUUAAAAUUAUACUAACUUUAGAAUUCUUUUAAGAAACAGUUCUCAACACAGUUAAAGGUAGCUCUUGAAAAUUGUUUGGCUGGUAAGGGUUGGACAAAAUUCUGUUGUGAGAAAGAUUUUUUAGGUACAGGCAAUCUUGCAUCAGAGCUAAUUAUUGGAACCGCAGAGCAUGUAUAAUUGAUAAAUGACAAGCGCCAUGUCAUUAAAAAAACAAUGAAAGCAGACACUGAUGUAAUACUAUGAUAAAAGACAUAUUAAAUACUUUUUUACUAUCGUGAAGUACACUGUAAAAUCUAAUAGCUGUCAUGACUUGCAUAGAUAAGUUACCAGUACUAAUAUGUACUACUUAAUAGUUUUUAUAAAGUAACAUGUAAUUGCAUGGUAAAAAAGUACAUUUUACUGUUUUUUUCUGAGUGAAGUUAACAUGGCUUAAGGCAUGAUUACUCGCAUAUUUUAUUUUAAGUCAACCUAAUCGGGUUUAAGUUACUUUUACAACAGGGCUUUAUUUGCUGUCACAUGCUAAGAGCGAGUAUUUUCUAACAAACCCUAAAAGCAACCAGAUCUGCGCAUGUGCUGUAGAUGUCAUUGGACGUCUCGCGCCGUGCCGACAUAUUCACAAUUUGAGGAUCUCUUCAUGUAAAGCUAACAAACACUGCACAAGUUGAGUACUCUUCCGGAAGAGGGAGAAGAGAGAGACUUCUCUUCUGUGUGGUGUGGAGGGCAGUGACUGUAAGAGUGGACAAUACGACCACUGAAUAUUUUGAGUAGCUGAUGACCUUCCAACCGUCUUGGUGAGUUUUGUCUCUUAGAAAUGUACUAAACUAUUACUAAGCUAACACCACUAAUGGUGCCUUUUCUGUCAACCACUAGGCUGAUUUUUGUUGAACAUAGCGGGGAAAAAUUACUUUUUGUAUGAUGUAAAAUGAGAAAGAUCCACAGAGCAAAGUUUAACAUUAACUCAUCCCGAAACGCUUGAAACACACAGUGCCUCAAAAUUUUCACUUGCACUUUCCUUGAUCAGACAGGCAAAGUAGUGAAUCCACAGCUGCAUUCCAUUGCCAGUUAUGUGAAUACAUGAAGCCCAGCAGUGAAGCAGAGUUUUUCACACACUUGCGAAGUCAUUUGAAACUUAAGCAAAGAGUUGUGUGUCCAUAUGAAGGCUGUGAUUUUUCAGAGCAAUGUAUAUUCAACAUUUAAUGCACACAAAAGUAGGAUUCACGGUAUGAGUACUACACCACAUUUUAAACCAGGAAUAGUACACAACAUUUAAUGACCUGAGGUGACCGAAGAAGAGAAUGUUUCUUCACACAAUGACUGAGUGUGAGUAUGAGGAGUCUAUGGGAGACACACAAGACUUGGAAACUCAGCUGGAACAUAACCUCGCUGCUCUGUUUUUAAAAAUGCAGAAAGUCCUGCACAUUUCUGAAAUUGCUGCCCAAGAAGUUAUACAGCAGAUCAACCAAAUCCAUUACUUUCAAGGUCGCGAAUACAAAGUGCAGUCCAGAGGAUUAUCAGUCACCGUUGCGGUAAGUAAUGUCUUGCUUAAGUUCACCAAUACAGGAGGAUCCCUGUCAACAGCUAGCAGGAGAACAUCUUAUUUCCGCAAGGAUUUCCAGUUGUUAUGCCAGUUGAAUUUUGCCUUGAUGGAGGUAGGUCAUUUGUGUAUGUUCUCAUACUGAAAAUGUUGCAAACUUUGUUAAAAAAAUCUGGAUAUUUUGGAUAAGGUGCUACACAAAAAGACUUUUUUUAUCAGAAGGAUACCUCUCAUUCAGAGAGAGCUCUCACCUCAAAGAAAAUGUUCGUUUGAAUGUAGAAGAGUUUAGGAUUACUCUUGGGCUAUAUAUAGAUGAUUUUGAAGUGGUCAAUCCAUUGGGAACAUCCACAAAAAAAGCACAAGCUAUGUGCAGUAUAUUGGGUGCUUGCUAACCUUGAUUCCAAAUAUCGGUCAGCUCUGCACUCCAUUCAACUUGCACUUUUGUGUAAGGUUAAUACUGCAAAGGAACAUGGCUAUGCAGAAAUCCUUCGUCCACUUAUUCAGAAUCUUGCAACCCUAGAGGAACAUAGUUUUUAUGUUGAUCAACUAGCAGAAAGUGUUAAAGGCAUUGCCUUGUAUGUAGCAGCAGACAACUUAGGGGCUCACUCUGUGGCAGGAUUCCAGGAGAGUUUUGCAGCCGAUCACUUCUGCCGGUUUUGUAUGUGUAAACAAGAUGAGAUACAGGAUAAAGAGGUCAGAUCAGGUCUACUCCAUUUAAGGACAAGAGAGAAUCAUGACAGACAUGUACAAGAUGUUGUACGUGACCCUGCUAUGGCCAGACAUCAUGGUGUUUAAAAGAGGGUGUUCAUUCAGUGAAAAUCUGAGACACUUUCAUGUGGUCAAUGGCUUUCCACCUGACAUCCUGCAUGACUUUUUGGAGGGUAUUGUGCCAUCAGAACUGUCACUGUGUCUUCAGGAUUUGUUUACCAAGCAGUAUAUUUCUUUGGACUCUCUGAAUAACAAACAUUUCCAACCUACAAACUUCGUCCAAAACAUCAUUUUAUUGAACACUACCCUCAAAUGAUUUAAAAAAGGUUGUGCAUGACACUCGCAAUUUUAAGAAUUUACAACAAAACUUAGCUGUAAGACACCAGAAAAUGAUGGCGUUCCAUUUGGAUUCAUCAUCAUUCUUCAAACCUCCUAUGGAAAUUGAUAAAGUGAGGUCAGUUAUGAUUACAUAUUUCCCUGAAAAUGUUCAAAACUUCCUUCAUCAGCAUAAUGCCAGACAAAGUACGGUAUUGGUUGCAUUGGUAUUUGGUUGAUAUUGGUUGCUUGUGUUGACGGUGUAAAAUACAGUGCAGAUAUGAUCAUUUCAGUUGGAACUUGUUCAGGUCUACCCGAGUUCCAGCAAAUAACACAUAUUGCUGUUAUUAAUACAGAAAUCCUGUUGGUCUGUAGGAUUUUGACUUCAUGGUAUGUUGAAUACUUGCGUGCUUAUGAGUUGUGCUUCAGUGGGUCAGGGCCUCUCACAGUCACUAAUUUUUCUGAUCUAAAUGAUCCUUUCCCCUUAUCCUCCUAUCAAAUAAAGGGCAAUGUGUAUGUGAUACUGAAGCGUUAUAUAUUAUGCUGAAUGAUUGCAUGUGAAAUUGCCACUAAAGUCAUGUCUGCUCUUUAUAGGACCAUGGGAAGCUAUAAACUAAUUUUUGUAAAUGAACAGGAUAUACAUAAAGCCUCACUAGAUGGGAUACCAAAAACAGUUAAAGAACUUAAGAUAAUAGUUGAAGAAAAAUGGACGCUUAAUGAUGACUUUUCUCUCGAGAUCUACACUUUGAUAAUUCCCUCUGCAACCUUGAUGAUGUACAAGAUUUGCCACCUACAAAAGCUACUGCCAAGGUGAUACCAUUAGUGACACUGACACUGAUACCUACCUCUGAAUUCUCCUCAGAUAAUAGAGAUUCUGUUGACACCAAGCUCAUCAACAAGACAAGGGCGAUGGCCAGAAUUCUUUAACAUUCCAAAUUUCCAGUUGAUGUAUAAUUCAGACUGAGACAGGCAAAUCUUCUGUUUUUAUGAGACCGUACUUACCUGAAUGUGCCAAGAGACAUGAAGCAUGGUAUUUUGGAGAAACUUGCUGAGGAGAUCUACAAAUUUGAUGCCUAUCCAAAUGAAAAAUUAAGCCGUUCUGUGUCAUUAGCACUAAUAAUAAAACAUCCUUGUCUGAGGGAACCACGCUCACCAGAUGGGUGCUCUGGCUGGAAGAACAGCUUGAUGUACAAAAUGGGAAACUAUCGCACUAAACCGAGAAAUGCUGGAUGUGCAGAGGUUGCAAUAAACACAGGGAUAAAGUGGGCCCUGCAAAUGGCAUCAAAAGGCCUCAAAAGCCCAAAAAGGUAUGAGGUAAAUUACUUACCUAACCUACCUGAGGGCCAGAAUGAAGAUGGACUAGAGGCUAAAAGAAAGCUUCUGGUUGAAGAAAUGAAAAAACAGAACCCCAGUGGAACUGUUAUUGCUUCAAAGAUGGAUCAGACCUUCCCACUGCAGAGAUGGGAAAUUGUGGAGACCGACCCUCCAGUGAAAACCCUGAAGGAGCAGUGGCCUGCCCUUUUUUCAGAAAGACAAGUAUAUGCAGAGUUCAACAGGAUUGCCACCACAAAUCUAGAAAACUAUUUUUUUGAUGCAAUGGACUGCUUCACACCACGCUUUGUCCAUAUCUUCAAGUCCAACAAAGGAAGUGUUGGAAAAAAAAUUGCUGAAAUUGUGCAGCAGGUUGAAUGAGCGUAAGUCUUCUAAAGUGUUCUUAAUGUCAUUUUUUGUUAAACGAGCAUAAAUACUGUAUUUUAAGAAAUGGCAACUUGCAGUAGUGUUAAAACACUAUGUCCUUUGUUCCUGAUAAACUGUGUAAUAGAUUUGAAAAUGACUUCUCUCCACUAAAAAAAAAAACCCAUUUAGAUAAGACUCUUUUCAUGUACACAUUUGUGUUCGUAUUGUAACAUUGAAUAUUGUAUUAUCCUGAACUUAAUUUGUUCUUUCCAUUAGAAGCCAGAUGUGACAGCACUACAUACCCUUGUUCUCAGAGGCCUCCCAAUACUUCCGAGUAUCCGAGUAACUUCUACAACACUGCCUUUGUAAGUUCUUACACAGUUACAAAGGCAGUGUUGUAGAAGUUACUCGGGCCACACCAGGCCACACCAGAAAAAAACAGGUCUUUACAUCUGUGGGCUGAUUAAGCGGUUGUAAGCAGUUUUAUCACUGUAGUCCACACUUCACAAUACUUAAACAUGCUCCUGAGAUAACACUGAUCCUGUCCCAUUCUUCUUUCUGGACCUGCCUAAAACAUUUUGACACCCUUCCUCUGGGGGAAGUUCUCUUCAAAUCGAGACCAAUCGCUGCUCAGAGGAUGUUUCCAC